rnacentral:rRNA from 2 species
GGCAUCGAUCAGUAGCGGGUCUGAGAGGAUGAUCCGCCACACUGGGACUGAGACACGGCCCAGACUCCUACGGGAGGCAGCAGUGGGGAAUUUUGGACAAUGGGCGCAAGCCUGAUCCAGCCAUGCCGCGUGUCUGAAGAAGGCCUUCGGGUUGUAAAGGACUUUUGUCAGGGAGGAAAUUCCUAGCGCUAAUAUCGCUGGGGGAUGACAGUACCUGAAGAAUAAGCACCGGCUAACUACGUGCCAGCAGCCGCGGUAAUACGUAGGGUGCAAGCGUUAAUCGGAAUUACUGGGCGUAAAGCGUGCGCAGGCGGUUGUGUAAGUCUGAUGUGAAAGCCCCGGGCUUAACCUGGGAACUGCAUUGGAGACUGCACAGCUAGAGUGCGUCAGAGGGGGGUAGAAUUCCGCGUGUAGCAGUGA